UACAGGGGGUGCAAACGUUGCUCGGAAUUAUUGGGCGUAAAGCGCGCGUAGGCGGCCACUUAAGUCGGAUGUGAAAGCCCCCGGCUCAACUGGGGAGGGUCACGCGAUACUGCUCGACUUGAAGGCAGGAGAGGGAAGUGGAAUUCCCGGUGUAGUGGUGAAAUGCGUAGAUAUCGGGAGGAACACCAGUGGCGAAGGCGACUUCCUGGCCUGUUCUUGACGCUGAGGCGCGAAAGCUAGGGUAGCAAACGGG
rnacentral:rRNA from 1 species